AUGCUCUCGGCUUUGUGCUUAGGACUUGUGACCUUGUUGAUAAUGCGAGGGACCAGUGCAGACUCGGUGACCCAGACAGAAGGUGUUGUUACCCUCCCCGAGACGGCAUCUCUGACUCUGAAGUGUACUUAUCAGUCCAGCUAUUCAGUUUCUCUUUUCUGGUAUGUCCAGUACCAAAACAAAGAGCUUGAGCUGCUCCUGAAAAGCUUAUUAGGAAACCAGAAGGUGACCAGCAGAGGCUUCGAAGCCACUCAUAUCUCGAGUGACAGCUCCUUCCACCUGCAGAAAUCCUCUGUGAAAACAUCAGACUCAGCUGUGUACUACUGCGCCCUGAGUGACACAGUGAGAGAGGCUGCAGGGGGAGCUGAACACAAACCCAAGGGCACAGAUGGGGUCAGGCUGUGGGCAGCUCUCCAGAGUUCUAUGCUAGAGGCAUCGUCAAAGUACUUUCAGCUCUGA